rnacentral:pre_miRNA from 1 species
UGAACAAUUGCUGGGUCAUAUGGUAAGAUUAUGUUCAGCUUUAUGAGAAAUUGCCAAGCUGUCUUCCAAAGUGGCUGCACCAUUUGGCAUUCCCAUCAACAAU